rnacentral:rRNA from 1 species
CAGCCGCCACGGUAAUACGAAGGGUGCAAGCGUUAAUCGGAAUUACUGGGCGUAAAGCGUGCGUAGGCGGUGAGUUAAGUCCGCUGUGAAAUCCCCGGGCUCAACCUGGGAAUGGCAGUGGAUACUGGCUCGCUAGAGUGUGUCAGAGGAUGGUGGAAUUCCCGGUGUAGCGGUGAAAUGCGUAGAGAUCGGGAGGAACAUCAGUGGCGAUGGCGGCCAUCUGGGACAACACUGACGCUGAGGCACGAAAGCGUGGGGAGCAAACAGGAUUAGAUACCCGUGUAGUCCCUGUCUCUUAUAA